UACGUAGGGGGGCGAGCGUUGUCCGGAUUUAUUGGGCGUAAAGAGCGUGUAGGCGGCCAGGUAGGUCUGCUGUGAAAACUCGAGGCUCAACCUCGAGACGUCGGCGGAAACCAUCUGGCUAGAGUCCGGAAGAGGAGAGUGGAAUUCCUGGUGUAGCGGUGAAAUGCGCAGAUAUCAGGAAGAACACCCGUGGCGAAGGCGGCUCUCUGGGACGGUACUGACGCUGAGACGCGAAAAGCGUGGGGAGCGAACAGG
rnacentral:rRNA from 1 species